rnacentral:rRNA from 1 species
GUCUCUGGCUGUCCGAGUUGUAAUCUAGAGAAGUAAUGCCCGUGCUGGACCGUGUAUAAGUCUCCUGGGAUGGGGCGUCAUAGAGGGUGAGAAUCCCGUCUUUGACACGGACUACCAGUGCAUUGUGGUAUGCUCUCAAAGAGUCGAGUUGUUUGGGAAUGCAGCUCAAAAUGGGUGGUAAAUUCCAUCUAAAGCUAAAUAUUGGCGAGAGACCGAUAGCGAACAAGUACCGUGAGGGAAAGAUGAAAAGAACUUUGGAAAGAGAGUUAAACAGUACGUGAAAUUGCUGAAAGGGAAACGCUUGAAGUCAGUCGCGUUGGCCGGGAAUCAGCCUUGCUUUUGCAUGGUGUACUUUCUGGUUUGACGGGUCAGCAUCAAUUUUGACCACUGGAAAAAGACCUGGGGAAUGUGGCAGCUUCGGCUGUGUUAUAGCCCCUAGUCACAUACAGUGGUUGGGAUUGAGGAACUCAGCACGCCGCAAGGCCGGGUUUCGACCACGUUCGUGCUUAGGAUGCUGGCAUAAUGGCUUUAAGCGACCCGUCUUGAAACACGGACCAAGGAGUCUAACAUGCCUGCGAGUAUUUGGGUGGAAAACCCAAGUGCGUAAUGAAAGUGAAAGUUGAGAUCCCUGUCGUGGGGAGCAUCGACGCCCGGACCAGAACUUUUGGGACGGAUCCGCGGUGGAGCAUGUAUGUUGGGACCCGAAAGAUGGUGAACUAUGCCUGAAUAGGGUGAAGCCAGAGGAAACUCUGGUGGAGGCUCGUAGCGAUUCUGACGUGCAAAUCGAUCGUCAAAUUUGGGUAUAGGGGCGAAAGACUAAU